rnacentral:rRNA from 1 species
UACAGAGGUCCCAAGCGUUGUUCGGAUUCACUGGGCGUAAAGGGCGCGUAGGCGGCCAAUCAAGUCAGGGGUGAAAUCCCGAGGCUUAACCUCGGAACUGCCUUUGAUACUGUUUGGCUCGAGACCGGAAGAGGUAAGUGGAACUGCGAGUGUAGAGGUGAAAUUCGUAGAUAUUCGCAAGAACACCAGUGGCGAAGGCGGCUUACUGGUCCGGUUCUGACGCUGAGGCGCGAAAGCGUGGGGAGCAAACAGG